rnacentral:lncRNA from 15 species
UUAUAUUGGAAUUAGGUUCCUAAAACUCUUAUUACAGUUAUAUAGGGUUGAAGUUAUAUAUUAAAUUGUUGCAAUCUACUUUUUUUUUUUUUUUUUUUUUUUUUGACAUAUUGGAUGUAAACUGAUGGUCUUUUGUUUAGUUUUGCACAUUUCUGCAACCCACAAUAGAGAAUCCACUCUGACCACAGCUAGCUAAAACCAGUCAGGCAAAUGGAAAAUGAAAUAGUUGCUUUAAAGUGUUUCCCUUUUAAAAAGGCAGAGUUUCCCUUUUCAAAUAAUAUUAUAAACUUUUAAAGUCCCUUGUUAUUAGAACACUGUAUAGAAUUUAAUGAUUAUGUCCUUCAACCUUUCAGCAAAAAAGGAGGAGGACAUUGUGUACGAUGAAGUGAAGGUACGAAGUGAAACAACCCAACAAACUGGUGACACAGACGCCUCAACAGGAUUCUUGCCAGACAAGAAAGCAAACAACAGACGUCGCCGCUAUCAGCAGUUGGCUUGUUGUUUGGGGGUUCUUUGUGUCAUUUUGCUGUUGGGCGUCAUAGCAGUCUGCAUCUACCGUAAGUAUACAGAACAGGAAGUCCGUGCAUUAACUCUAUUAUCUAUAGGCAGUUUGUUUUAUUCACAUAAUCUGCCUCAAAUUGUUGUUUUUUUUUAUUUUUUAGGAACAGAGUUAAUUUCUAGAAACAAAAUCUGAUGUAGAAAUGUCUGCAGAGAGUAAAGGAUUCAUAAGACCGGGUUCUUAUUUACAUGAUUUCUAUUUUCAAUGUGCAACCAUUUAUUCUUGGAGAAGCCCACUGAAUCACACUGUAAAGCAUGUUGUUGUGUUGUUGUGUUGUUGUUGUAUGUUAUCUUAAUGACUUUUAUUCCCAUGUUUUAUAGCUUUGUGGUUAUUUAACCAAAAUGAAACAAAAUGAACACAUAUAAAUUUAAUGUUUAUUUUUUUUCCCACUUAAAUUUGACUUCAGAAUAAAGCCUUUUAUCGAUCAUAUAGUCGAUUGAAUAUGUGAAUUCAUUUGAAGCCACAUAACAGCAGUGAAAGGUUGGUGACAGAAUUAGUAGAAACAGGAAGGCAUUAAAGGAUAAGUUAAAUUGUAUUAUAUAUUUCUUCUUAUUGCGAACAUAUCCCAUGAUCAGACCCAAACCAACACAGCACUGAUCCUUGGAGCUCCAAUGUUAUCUGUCAGCUAUUAAAAACACAUCAGUGAGCCAACCUUUUGCUUCAAUUCAUUUUUAUUUGUAUAGCACCAAUUCAUAACCGAAGUUAUCUCAGGACACUUUUCAAAUAGAGCAGGUCUAGACCGAACACCUUUUAUAGCAUUAUUUACAGAGACCCAACAGUACCACCAUGAGCAAGCACCUUGGAGACAAGGGGCAAGGAAGAGAGGAGCUCAGUGCACCAUGGGAAAUCCCCCGAUAGUCUAGGCCUAUAGCAGCAUAACUAAGGGAUGGUUCAGGACUCACCUGAUCCAGCCCUAACUAUAAGCUUUAUCAAAGAGGAAUGUCUUAAGCCUAGUCUUGAAUGUGGAGAGGGUGUCUGCCUCCCGAACCACAACUGGAAGCUGGUUCCACAGGAGAGGAGCUUGGUAACUGAAGGCUCUGGCUCCUGUUCUACUUUUAGAGACUAUAGGAACCACAAGUAGCCCAGCAUUCAGAGAACGUAGUGUUCUAGAGGGGUAAUAGGGUACUAUGAGCUCUUUAAGAUAUGCAGGGGCCUGACCAUG